GACGAACGCUGGCGGCGUGCUUAACACAUGCAAGUCGAGCGGUAAGGCCCUUUCGGGGGUACACGAGCGGCGAACGGGUGAGUAACACGUGGGUGACCUGCCCUCAGCUCUGGGAUAAGCCCGGGAAACUGGGUCUAAUACCGGAUAUGACUUCAUGACGCAUGUUGUGGAGUGGAAAGCCUUGUGCGGCUGAGGAUGGGCCCGCGGCCUAUCAGCUUGUUGGGGGUGAUGGCCUACCAAGGCGACGACGGGUAGCCGGCCUGAGAGGGCGACCGGCCACACUGGGACUGAGAUACGGCCCAGACUCCUACGGGAGGCAGCAGUGGGGAAUCUUGCGCAAUGGGCGAAAGCCUGACGCAGCGACGCCGCGUGA
rnacentral:rRNA from 1 species